rnacentral:rRNA from 1 species
UACAGAGGGGGCAAGCGUUGUUCGGAAUUACUGGGCGUAAAGGGCGCGUAGGCGGCCUUCUAAGUCGAACGUGAAAUCCCCGGGCUCAACCCGGGAACUGCGUCCGAUACUGGAAGGCUUGAAUCCGGGAGAGGGAUGCGGAAUUCCAGGUGUAGCGGUGAAAUGCGUAGAUAUCUGGAGGAACACCGGUGGCGAAGGCGGCAUCCUGGACCGGCAUUGACGCUGAGGCGCGAAAGCCCAGGGGAGCAAAGCGGG